GAUGAACGCUGGCGGCGUGCCUAAUACAUGCAAGUCGAGCGAACGGACGAGAAGCUUGCUUCUCUGAUGUUAGCGGCGGACGGGUGAGUAACACGUGGAUAACCUACCUAUAAGACUGGGAUAACUUCGGGAAACCGGAGCUAAUACCGGAUAAUAUUUUGAACCGCAUGGUUCAAAAGUGAAAGACGGUCUUGCUGUCACUUAUAGAUGGAUCCGCGCUGCAUUAGCUAGUUGGUAAGGUAACGGCUUACCAAGGCAACGAUGCAUAGCCGACCUGAGAGGGUGAUCGGCCACACUGGAACUGAGACACGGUCCAGACUCCUACGGGAGGCAGUAGUAGGGAAUCUUCCGCAAUGGGCGAAAGCCUGACGGAGCAACGCCGCGUGAGUGAUGAAGGUCUUCGGAUCGUAAAACUCUGAUAUUAGGGAAGAACAUAUGUGUAAGUAACUGUGCACAUCUUGACGGUACCUAAUCAGAAAGCCACGGCUAACUACGUG
rnacentral:rRNA from 1 species